UACGAAGGGGGCUAGCGUUGUUCGGAAUUACUGGGCGUAAAGCGCGCGCAGACGGCUAUCCAAGUCAGUGGUGAAAGCCCGGAGCUCAACUCCGGAACUGCCAUUGAAACUGUUUAGCUAGAGGACGAGAGAGGUGAGUGGAAUUCCCAGUGUAGAGGUGAAAUUCGUAGAUAUUGGGAAGAACACCGGUGGCGAAGGCGGCUCACUGGCUCGUUUCUGACGCUCAGGCGCGACAGCGUGGGGAUCAAACAGG
rnacentral:rRNA from 1 species